UGGCUCAGGAUGAACGCUGGCGGCGUGCCUAAUACAUGCAAGUCGAACGAAACUUCUUUAUCACCGAGUGCUUGCACUCACCGGUAAAGGGUUGAGUGGCGAACGGGUGAGUAACACGUGGGCAACCUGCCCAAAAGAGGGGGAUAACACUUGGAAACAGGUGCUAAUACCGCAUAACCAUAGUUACCGCAUGGUAGCUAUGUAAAAGGUGGCUAUGCUACCGCUUUUGGAUGGGCCCGCGGCGCAUUAGCUAGUUGGUGGGGUAAAGGCUUACCAAGGCAAUGAUGCGUAGCCGAACUGAGAGGUUGAUCGGCCACAUUGGGACUGAGACACGGCCCAAACUCCUACGGGAGGCAGCAGUAGGGAAUCUUCCACAAUGGGCGAAAGCCUGAUGGUGCAACGCCGCGUGGGUGAAGAAGGUCUUCGGAUCGUAAAACCCUGUUGUUAGAGAAGAAAGUGCGUGAGAGUAACUGUUCACGUUUCGACGGUAUCUAACCAGAAAGCCACGGCUAACUACGUGCCAGCAGCCGCGGUAAUACGUAGGUGGCAAGCGUUAUCCGGAUUUAUUGGGCGUAAAGGGAACGCAGGCGGUCUUUUAAGUCUGAUGUGAAAGCCUUCGGCUUAACCGGAGUAGUGCAUUGGAAACUGGGAGACUUGAGUGCAGAAGAGGAGAGUGGAACUCCAUGUGUAGCGGUGAAAUGCGUAGAUAUAUGGAAGAACACCAGUGGCGAAAGCGGCUCUCUGGUCUGUAACUGACGCUGAGGUUCGAAAGCGUGGGUAGCAAACAGGAUUAGAUACCCUGGUAGUCCACGCCGUAAACGAUGAAUGUAAGUGUUGGAGGGUUUCCGCCCUUCAGUGCUGCAGCUAACGCAAUAAGCAUCCGCCUGGGGAGUACGACCGCAAGGUUGAAACUCAAAGGAAUUGACGGGGGCCCGCACAAGCGGUGGAGCAUGUGGUUUAAUUCGAAGCAACGCGAAGAACCUUACCAGGUCUUGACAUCUUUUGACAAUCCUAGAGAUAGGACUUUGCCUUCGGGGACAAAAUGACAGGUGGUGCAUGGUCGUCGUCAGCUCGUGUCGUGAGAUGUUGGGUUAAGUCCCGCAACGAGCGCAACCCUUAUUGUUAGUUGCCAGCAUUAAGUUGGGCACUCUAGCAAGACUGCCGGUGACAAACCGGAGGAAGGUGGGGAUGACGUCAAAUCAUCAUGCCCCUUAUGAUUUGGGCUACACACGUGCUACAAUGGACGGUACAACGAGUCGCAAGACCGCGAGGUUUAGCGAAUCUCUUAAAGCCGUUCUCAGUUCGGAUUGUAGGCUGCAACUCGCCUACAUGAAGUCGGAAUCGCUAGUAAUCGCGGAUCAGCAUGCCGCGGUAAAUACGUUCCCGGGCCUUGUACACACCGCCCGUCACACCAUGAGAGUUUGUAACACCCAAAGCCGGUGGGGUAACCUUUUGGAGCCAGCCGUCUAAGGUGGGACAGAUGAUUAGGGUGAAGUCGUAACAAGGUAACCG
rnacentral:rRNA from 1 species